CCAAAAGUAUGAAGCGGGUCCACGAAAAGGUAUAUUCAACCAGAAACCAAAGGACCCCCAAAUGGCGAAAUAUGCAGUAAACGAACUGAAAGUUUAUUUCAAAGGUGUCACUCCAUUAAAUAUCCACCAGAUACUUGGAACCAACAACGAAAAAUCUCCGGCCCUCAAACACCGCCACCUAAUAGCCAUUAAACACUUCUGCAAUUGGACGCUGUUUAAUGGCUAUACAGUAGCUGGUGUCGAUUUCAAGAAGAUCCUUGAUGGGAUAGCUUUGGCUUCCGCGUCUGCUAGCAGACAGAAGAAGCAGAUAAAUACGCUAAAGAACGUGACAGACCAGGCACAGAUGGAGUAACUAUUGGGACCUGUCAUUGAUGGUCCGAAAUAUAAAGAGGCGAUGAAAGAGCUCGACGUACAACCGGUCUCGGAAAAAACAUACAACAAAUGCCUUGGCCUGUUUGUAGCUUGCCAUAUCCUCGAACGCGGCGGGAGAGUUGGCUACUUUUCCUGUAUGAAGGUUGGCGAGCUCAAACAGGCCAGGGAAUAUGAAGACCAAAGAUUGUUACAAAUUAUAGUGGAAGAGCAAAAAAUUAGAGACGAAGUAGGUUUUCUCACAAUGUCACGAGAAGACUACGAAAUGUUUUUAAAGCUGGUCAACAUGUUUCAAAAUAUCAAAGACAGAGACGAUAAAGAGUACGCAUUAGGCACCCCUUCCAAGAAACAAAUGCGGGUCGACAAGUGCGUCAGAUCCGCACUGGCAAAAGUAUUCGGCGAAAGUAUCAGUAUUACUUUAAUGAGAAAAAUGACCGAAACCCUGGCCUCAAGUAUGCCUGAAUCUCAGCAGAGAGAUGUGGCCAGGGCAUUGGGCCAUUCAGUAGAAAUAGCUCGUAAAAACUAUUAUAUACUGCACAAGGGGCACACAGCUCUGCGUGGUUCAGAAAUAAUAGCUCAAAACUUGAAGGCAGAGAAAACAAAAUUAUCGGAAAAAACAAUCUGACCCCUCUGAUAUACCAUCGACCUCCGGAAUUUACGGACCCUCCAAAACACAAUCUGACUCUUGACUCCGAAACACCUGAAGACACAUCGGACCUACCAUCAACCUCCUCAAAAUACCAAACGCCGAGAAAAAGAAAAUCUCGUUCGGAUCGAGAUUCUCCGAGGACAAAAGCAAUUAAAACUACAGUUCCUCGCAAGAGAAUAAUAUCUCAAUCUGAUAGGCUGUGGUUGUAUUACCACG